AUAACUACUGGGAAAACGGUAGACUAACUACCGCAUAACGUCGCAAGACCAAAGAGGGGGACCUUCGGGCCUCUUGCCAUCAGAUGUGCCCAGAUGGGAUUAGCUAGUAGGUGGGGUAACGGCUCACCUAGGCGACGAUCCCUAGCUGGUCUGAGAGGAUGACCAGCCACACUGGAACUGAGACACGGUCCAGACUCCUACGGGAGGCAGCAGGUGGGGAAUAUUGCACAAUGGGCGCAAGCCUGAUGCAGCCAUGCCGCGUGUAUGAAGAAGGCCUUCGGGUUGUAAAGUACUUUCAGCGGGGAGGAAGGGAGUAAAGUUAAUACCUUUGCUCAUUGACGUUACCCGCAGAAGAAGCACCGGCUAACUCCGUG
rnacentral:rRNA from 1 species